AAGCCGCUGUUUGGGGAAUUGCAAACCUCUGAAAACCCGAAUCUGCUGGGUUUGGUCCUGAGCCGCAGGCUGUGGUGCCUGGCUAAGCCGCAUUUGUCGUUUUGGGGAGUGAAAAGCUGAGAAAGGCAGAGAGGGAGCGGGUGAGAAAGGAGGUCACCUUGUGCUUAGGGUGGUUUUCUUCGCUUUUGCUUGUCCUGGGUUAUUUGUGGCUGCGUUUGCCGGCUGCCACAGCUGCUCGUCCGUGUGCUCCUGCAGGGCAGCCCCAGCCUUGGGGAGCCAAAAGUUGUGAUUCUGGGGGCGGAAAACAGAAAGCAAAAGCUGGCUGUGCCAUUUCCAGCCCUCCGUGUCCAUACCCAGCACCAGCUCUUCUGUAGCUUUUCCCAGUCAGCAAUGAGUGGAGAAGCCCUUUCUUGACCCGUUUUGCCUCCACUGAACAGGGCUUUGCUUGGCAGUAGGAAUACGUAGAGAAAUGUUCAGGAUGUGCAACCAUUUUCCCUAGAAGGGAUAGGGGGGUGGGGGAGAUUUCCACGUGCUGCUGGUGGCGUCGGUGUCUCUGCGCCUGGGUUGGCAGUGACGCUGGGGUUAAAAAGCGAUGUUGAAGAAGUGCAGCAGCCUGGAAGUUGUCCCCAGAAGGUAGACACGCGCACACCCCCCCAAAAGGAGAUGCCCAUCUCCUCCGUGGUGCUGAGGCAGCAGCACGUGGAGAGCAAGGGACUGGGCUCCGGUCCUCCAGCGAUGGUUCAGGUUCCGUUGUGAAAGCGCAGCCCAGCAGGAUGGAAAUGGUGCUCUCUUUUUCUCCCCAGCUGCCGUCGCAUCCUCUCCUUUCCCCUCCAGGGAUGUGCAGGUUUUCUCCACGUUGCUCUGAGGGCAGCUUCCCAGCUCUUGUCCCAGCAAGGGGAGGUUCCUGGCCGUGGAGAAGGUCCCUCAGCUGGAAUCAUCCCUGUGAUGGUCCCUGUCCCAGCGCAAGUUUGGGCUGAUUGCAGUGCCACGGCUGGAAAAUCUUCAUGCUCAUGGUGUUUAGACUACGUCGUGGACAGACGAGGAGUUGGUCGUCUCUGGCAAGAGGUCGUUGCGUUUUCCUCCAGUAUCUCGUAGUCUGCUGUCAGAUGGAUUUCUGUGAAGGGAGUGAGACUCUGAGCAAAAACUGCUACAGGUUUUUGGGGCUCUUUGCCCACACGCGGACCCCGUGGAUGGCUUCAGGUCCCGCCAUUUCCCUCCCUCUGCUCACCCCAUCCCCAGACCUGGCCAGCAGCAGGGUUCAGCUCUGCCAGGCCCACCCACAAAGCCCCUCUCUUCCCACCCGGCCUGGAAACCAGCACCCAGCUGCAAACACACACUCUCCUCUCGGGCCAAGAGCAGCCUCCUGCUUUGUUAGGCCUUCUAAAUGCUGCCAAAUAACGUGUGUCUGCA